rnacentral:tRNA from 1 species
GCAAGGUUGGCAGAUAAAUGCGAUUGGCUUAGGACCAGUUUAUGUGGUUAUACCCCACACUUUGCU